rnacentral:lncRNA from 1 species
AAGUAAGCCUGGCCCCUAUCUCCCACCCAUGUGGAUCAUGGAAAGAAGGGAAGCCAACCAUGUCUUCAGGAAGGAUCGAAAUGUCUGUUGGGGAGGGCUAUAGUGGAGGACCCAUGGAAGAGCCCUCUCAUACUUACUUGGACUCCUUAGAGACCAGCUCAGCCCUUCCCCCAGCCACACCAUACAAGGAAACUAAAGGAGCAAAGUCAUGGAUGCAGUGGGUCCUAUCUAGCAUCACAGUCAAUGCUCCAACGUGGGAUCAAUGGAGGAGGCUGGAGGAAAGGAAGCGGGAGGACGUGGAACCAAAGUACUCCUCCCAUGCCACUGCCACUGUGAGCUUACGGAACUUGAUUCUGUAAAACUGUAAAGACUUGAGUUCUGUGACAUCAUUCCUUGGGCUCUAUUUUUGGGAAGGGUGCCUGCAGAGAUGUUAAGCGUUGCCUGGCUAGCGAGGGAAUCACGUAUUCACUGUGACUUAGUGAAUGGCCUCAUUUCUUCCUGCUGUGCAAUGGAAGGGAAUGAGAUAUAUCCUGCACGUUUAAAAGGAAUGUAAAGAGGGCCGAGUGGGUCUAAGGUGCUAUAGGUCUUGGAGAGCCAGGUCCUGUUUUCUGCAGCCCCAGCUCGGCUCCCUGGAGUCACCGAUUCCAGAUGGUGUCUUAAAAUUAGACAGGCAGGCAGCUAAAUUCCAGGGAAGGUAGAAUCACCUGGGAUACUUGGCUAGUGAACACUUUUUAGACACAACUGCAGGACAGAUGGACCCUGGUGGAGGACAUGGGUCCUGAACCAGUGAAGGCCACUAGAGGGCAGGCUACCUGUAUCUCUCUCACACGUGCUGGGUAAGGUCAUGGGCAGAACUGUGCUGUAGAGCACCAUCGAGGCCAAAGAAGAUAGCUCUGGUGUGUGUGGAGGGAGGGUGUGCCGGCAGCAGGGCCCAAUGGUGCUCCUUCCCUAAACCCUGCAGCUCUUCCUGAAGACCACCCCGAGUUAGGAAGUAUGACCCGGGUGGCUGAUUUCUGAGCUAUGCUCAGUGAACCAGCCUGACUGGCUUGCAGGAUCUUGAAAAUGGGUGUGGCGCACCCAUUCAAUUCUUUUCCUGUUUUAGAUUUCUUUCUUUCUUUAGCUUUCUGGCAAAAUUCCUCUUGAAACCAUUCCAACCCUGUUUGCCAGACUGAAGGGGAAAGGGUUUCAGCACACACCAAUAUUCAGGUCAAAGUGGAGGGCCAUGUCAUGGCUCUGAAGGUCCAAGCUAUUUAGAGAACUGAGGAUGAAGCAAGCAGCCAAGGUGUGGGUCAGCUAUGGGGUGAGAGUGACAGCGACCGUGACGCAAGUCUAUGGCAGACACCCUCUGUGAAGGAGCCUGGGGCUAUGAAGCAUAUACUUUAUUCUUGGCUGGCAUGUCACUCAUAUACUCUUUGUUUUGUUUUGUUUUGUUUUGUUUUUAAACUUGUAUUUGUUGUGAUGUGAGUGAGCAGAUAGACCCUGGAGAAGGGCACCAAAGAAGAGGUUGGCUCAGUUCUCUGAAGAAGGGGCAAUAAUCUAUGUGUUGGCUAUAUGAAUACCCCUAUAGUAACAGUGUGUUGUGGUGUAGAGAUAAACUAUCCCUCCAACAGGCCUAGGUGGUAAAGGUAUCUGUUGUCAUUAUUGAGAGGUUACUGGAUCAUGCCAGCACAGUUUCAUGUAUGGGCUACUAACAGUGUGGUAUGACUGGAGAAAGAAAGCCACUGGGAUCAUGUCUCUAACAGGCAUAUCUUGCCUUAGCCACUUGUAUGCUUCUUUCUGCUUCUUGGAUAUUAUAGGUGGGUAACUCUGCUCCA